rnacentral:rRNA from 1 species
GAGUUUGAUCCUGGCUCAGGACGAACGCUGGCGGCGUGCUUAACACAUGCAAGUCGAACGGGCCUGUCUUCUUUUUUGGGGGUGGGUUGAGUGGCGAACGGGUGAGUAUCCCGUGAGUAACCUGCCCUUCGGUCCUGGAUAACCGCUUGAAAGGGCGGCUAAUACGGGGUGGUCCGGUUGGUCCGCAUGGGCUGGUCGGGAUAGAUUCACUGUUUUUGGUGUUUCGGCGGGGGAUGGGCUCGCGGCCUAUCAGCUUGUUGGUGGGGUGAUGGCCUACCAAGGCGGUGACGGGUAGCCGGCCUGAGAGGGUGGGCGGCCACACUGGGACUGAGAUACGGCCCAGACUCCUGCGGGAGGCAGCAGUGGGGGGUAUUGCACAAUGGGCGGAAGCCUGAUGCAGCGACGUCGCGUGAGGGAUGGAGGCCUUCGGGUUGUGAACCUCUGUUUCCGGUGGUGAAGGCCCUGUCCGUGUGGUGGGGUUGACGGUAGCCGGGGAUGAAGCGCCGGCUAACUACGUGCCAGCAGCCGCGGUGAUACGUAGGGCGCGAGCGUUGUCCGGAAUUAUUGGGCGUAAAGGGCUUGUAGGCGGCUGGUCGCGUCUGCCGUGAAAUUCUCCGGCUCAACCGGGGGCUUGCGGUGGGUACGGGCCGGCUGGAGUGCGGUAGGGGAGGCUGGAACUCCUGGUGUAGCGGUGGAAUGCGCAGAUAUCAGGAGGAACACCGGUGGCGAAGGCGGGUCUCUGGGCCGUUACUGACGCUGAGGAGCGAAAGCGUGGGG